rnacentral:lncRNA from 1 species
CCGCCUAAUCACCUCACCCCAGUACUUCUUCGGCCUACCCCUACCCCGCCUAAAACCAUCCAACGCUAGCCUCUCACACCUACGGACCGGGGCAUCCAUGCCCCUCCUCUUCACAUGUCCGAACCAGCUCAAUCGUGCUUCCCGUAUCUUGCACUUCACUGAAGUCACACCAACCUUCUCCCAGAUAGUCUCAUUCCGAACUCUAUCCCCUCUAGUCAGUCCACACAUCCAGUGCAACAUCCGCAUUUCUGCCACCUUCAUUUUUUAGAUGUGGGAGUUCUUAAAUGGCCAACACUCCGCUCCAUACAACAAGGCCGGACGGACUACCACCCUGUAGAAUUUGCCUUUAAGCUUAGGCGGCACCUUCUUAUCACACAGCACCCCCAACG